rnacentral:rRNA from 1 species
AGGGCGCACGGUGGAUGCCUUGGCACUAGGAGCCGAUGAAGGACGGGACUAACACCGAUAUGCUUUGGGGAGCUGUACGUAAGCUAUGAUCCAGAGAUUUCCGAAUGGGGGAACCCAACAUCUUUAAUAGGAUGUUACGAUUGUGUGAAUACAUAGCACAUUCGAGGUAGACGCAGAGAACUGAAACAUCUAAGUACCUGCAGGAAGAGAAAGAAAAUUCGAUUCCCUGAGUAGCGGCGAGCGAAACGGGAAAAGCCCAAACCAACAAGCUUGCUUGUUGGGGUUGUAGGACUCCAAUAUGGUCGUUCUUUCAGAUAGUCGAAUGACUUGGAAAAGUCAGUCAAAGAGGGUAAAAACCCCGUAGACGAAAUGUGGAAGACACCUAGGAGGAUCCUGAGUACGGCGGAACACGAGAAAUUCCGUCGGAAUCCGGGAGGACCAUCUCCCAAGGCUAAAUACUCCCUAGUGACCGAUAGUGAACCAGUACCGUGAGGGAAAGGUGAAAAGCACCCCGGAAGGGGAGUGAAAUAGAACCUGAAACCGUGUGCCUACAACAAGUCAAAGCCCGUUAAUGGGUGAUGGCGUGCCUUUUGUAGAAUGAACCGGCGAGUUACGAUUGCAUGCGAGGUUAAGUUGAAGAGACGGAGCCGCAGCGAAAGCGAGUCUGAAUAGGGCGUUUGAGUAUGUAGUCGUAGACCCGAAACCAUGUGAUCUACCCAUGUCCAGGUUGAAGGUGCGGUAAAACGCACUGGAGGACCGAACCCACGUACGUUGAAAAGUGCGGGGAUGAGGUGUGGGUAGCGGAGAAAUUCCAAACGAACUUGGAGAUAGCUGGUUCUCUCCGAAAUAGCUUUAGGGCUAGCCUCGGAAUUGAGAAUGAUGGAGGUAGAGCACUGUUUGGACUAGGGGCCCAUCUCGGGUUACCGAAUUCAGAUAAACUCCGAAUGCCAUUCAUUCAUAUCCGGGAGUCAGACUGUGAGUGAUAAGAUCCAUAGUCGAAAGGGAAACAGCCCAGACCACCAGCUAAGGUCCCAAAAUAUAUGUUAAGUGGAAAAGGAUGUGGGGUUGCACAGACAACUAGGAUGUUGGCUUAGAAGCAGCCACCAUUUAAAGAGUGCGUAAUAGCUCACUAGUCGAGUGACCCUGCGCCGAAAAUGUACCGGGGCUAAACAUAUUACCGAAGCUGUGGAGUACACCUUUAGGUGUAUUGGUAGGAGAGCGUUCUAAGGGCGUCGAAGGCAGAUCGUGAGGACUGCUGGAGCGCUUAGAAGUGAGAAUGCCGGUAUGAGUAGCGAAAGACAGGUGAGAAUCCUGUCCACCGAAUGACUAAGGUUUCCUGGGGAAGGCUCGUCCGCCCAGGGUUAGUCGGGACCUAAGCCGAGGCCGAUAGGCGUAGGCGAUGGAUAACAGGUUGAUAUUCCUGUACCCGUUGUUUUUGUUUGAGCAAUGGAGGGACGCAGGAGGCUAAGGAAUGCAGACGAUUGGAAAUGUCUGUCCAAGCAGUAAGUCUGAAGAGGAGUCAAAUGCUUCUUUUCUUAAGGACAAGCUGUGAUGGGGAGGGAAAUAAUAGUACCGAAGUUCCUGAUGUCACACUGCCGAGAAAAGCUUCUAGUGAGAAAACAGCGGCCCGUACCGCAAACCGACACAGGUAGUCGAGGAGAGAAUCCUAAGGUGAGCGAGAGAACUCUCGUUAAGGAACUCGGCAAAAUGACCCCGUAACUUCGGGAGAAGGGGUGCUGAUCUAACGAUCAGCCGCAGUGAAUAGGCCCAAGCGACUGUUUAUCAAAAACACAGGUCUCUGCAAAAUCGAAAGAUGACGUAUAGGGGCUGACGCCUGCCCGGUGCUGGAAGGUUAAGAGGAGUGCUUAGCGUAAGCGAAGGUACGAAUUGAAGCCCCAGUAAACGGCGGCCGUAACUAUAACGGUCCUAAGGUAGCGAAAUUCCUUGUCGGGUAAGUUCCGACCCGCACGAAAGGCGUAACGAUUUGGGCACUGUCUCAACGAGAGACUCGGUGAAAUUUUAGUACCUGUGAAGAUGCAGGUUACCCGCGACAGGACGGAAAGACCCCAUGGAGCUUUACUGCAGUUUGAUAUUGAGUGUUUGUACCACAUGUACAGGAUAGGUAGGAGCCGUAGAAGUCGGGACGCUAGUUUCGACAGAGGCGCUGGUGGGAUACUACCCUUGUGUUAUGACCACUCUAACCCGCACCACUAAUCGUGGUGGGAGACAGUGUCAGAUGGGCAGUUUGACUGGGGCGGUCGCCUCCUAAAGAGUAACGGAGGCGCCCAAAGGUUCCCUCAGAAUGGUUGGAAAUCAUUCGCAGAGUGUAAAGGCACAAGGGAGCUUGACUGCGAGACCUACAAGUCGAGCAGGGACGAAAGUCGGGCUUAGUGAUCCGGUGGUUCCGCAUGGAAGGGCCAUCGCUCAACGGAUAAAAGCUACCCUGGGGAUAACAGGCUUAUCUCCCCCAAGAGUCCACAUCGACGGGGAGGUUUGGCACCUCGAUGUCGGCUCGUCGCAUCCUGGGGCUGUAGUCGGUCCCAAGGGUUGGGCUGUUCGCCCAUUAAAGCGGCACGCGAGCUGGGUUCAGAACGUCGUGAGACAGUUCGGUCCCUAUCCGUCGCGGGCGUUGGAAAUUUGAGAGGAGCUGUCCUUAGUACGAGAGGACCGGGAUGGACUUACCGCUGGUGUACCAGUUGUUCUGCCAGAGGCAUCGCUGGGUAGCUAUGUAGGGAAGGGAUAAACGCUGAAAGCAUCUAAGUGUGAAGCCCACCUCAAGAUGAGAUUUCCCAUUUCU